rnacentral:tRNA from 1 species
GCCUAGUUAGCUUAGUUGGUAGCGCGUCUGCCUUGUAAGCGCUAGCCCGCGGGUUCGAUUCCCGUCCGGGGCG